GGAUUCCCCUAGUAGCGGCGAGCGAACCGGGAAGAGCUCAAAUUUGUAAUCUGGCGCAAGCCGAGUUGUAAUCUAUAGAAACGUUUUCCGUGCCGGACCGCGUCCAAGUCCCUUGGAACAGGGUAUCAAAGAGGGUGACAAUCCCGUGCUUGAUGCGACACCCGGGCUUUGUGAUACGUUUUCUACGAGUCGAGUUGUUUGGGAAUGCAGCUCAAAAUGGGUGGUAAAUUCCAUCUAAGGCUAAAUAUUGGCGAGAGACCGAUAGCGAACAAGUACCGUGAGGGAAAGAUGAAAAGCACUUUGGAAAGAGAGUUAAACAGUAUGUGAAAUUGUUGAAAGGGAAACGAUUGAAGUCAGUCGUGGCCGUAGGAUUCAGCCGGCUCUGCCGGUGUAUUUCCUGCGGCCGGGUCAACAUCAGUUCUGAUCGGUGGAUAAUGGCUGGAGGAAUGUGGCACCUCCGGGUGUGUUAUAGCCUCCUGUCGCAUACAUCGGUUGGGACUGAGGAAUGCAGCUCGCCUUUAUGGCCGGGGUUCGCCCACGUUCGAGCUUAGGAUGUUGACGUAAUG
rnacentral:rRNA from 1 species